rnacentral:rRNA from 1 species
UACGAGGGGGGCAAGCGUUGUUCGGAAUUAUUGGGCGUAAAGGGUGCGUAGGCGGUCUGACAAGUCUGAUGUGAAAAUCUAUGGGCUCAACCCAUAGCCUGCAUCGGAAACUGUCGGGCUUGAGUAUGGGGAGAGGUGAGUGGAAUUUUCCGGUGUAGCGGUGAAAAUGCGUAGAUAUCGGAAAGGAACACCCUGUGGCGAAAAGCGGCUCACUGGAC